AUUGAACGCUGGCGGUAUGCUUAAGACAUGCAAGUCGUGCGGUAGAAGGCUUCGGCCUUUGAGAGCGGCGGACGGGUGAGUAACACGUGGGAAUCUGCCUAUUAGUGGGGGACAGCCCAGCGAAAGCUGGAUUAAUACCGCAUACGCCUACGGGGAAGACAGCAAUGCGCUAAUAGAUGAGCCCGCGUAAGAUUAGCUAGUUGGUAAGGUAAAGGCUUACCAAGGCGACGAUCUUUAGCUGGUCUGAGAGGAUGGCCAGCCACAUCGGGACUGAGACACGGCCCGGACUCCUACGGGAGGCAGCAGUCGGGAAUAUUGGACAAUGGGCGCAAGCCUGAUCCAGCAAUACCGCGUGUGUGAAGAAGGCCUGCGGGUUGUAAAGCACUUUCAGUUGGGAAGAUAAUGACGUUACCAACAGAAGAAGCACCGGCUAACUCCGUGCCAAGCAGCCGUCGGUAAAGUAGUCGUGU
rnacentral:rRNA from 1 species